UACGAAGGGGGCUAGCGUUGCUCGGAAUUACUGGGCGUAAAGGGCGCGUAGGCGGCUCUGUUAGUCAGGCGUGAAAGCCCUGGGCUCAACCUGGGGACUGCGCUUGAUACGGCGGGGCUUGAGGGCAGGAGAGGCUCGCGGAAUUCCCAGUGUAGAGGUGAAAUUCGUAGAUAUUGGGAAGAACACCGGUGGCGAAGGCGGCGAGCUGGCCUGUUACUGACGCUGAGGCGCGACAGCGUGGGGAGCAAACGGG
rnacentral:rRNA from 1 species